ACCUUAUGAGAGGCAUGCGGCGUGACAGGUGGAGCUUGAGAGUGAAAUGAAUGAUGAUGCCGAAAGAUAUAUGACUAGUGCUCGUCGGACACUUUUCUCCCCCCCUCCGCCCCACUUUCUCCGUAACCUAAACGGCCCUUAGCAGGCAGAUUAGAUAGAACAGAGAAAGGGGAAAAUGUCGUACAUGCGCGGAGACUUGCUAUCCAGGACAAGGAAGUUGGUGAAGGGUCUCGCAAAGCCUACCCCGGUGUGGCUUAAACCCAUGGAAGAGGCGCCGCCGGUGACAUUCCCACGGACGGAUGGGAAGAUCAGGAAGAUUGAAAUGCCGGAGGAUGUAUAUGUCAAGAGAUUCUUCAAGAAGCAUCCGGAUUCUCUCUACCAUGAUGCUGUCAAGAUAAGUGGUUUUGAUCCUCCUCCAGCACACGAGUUUUUGCUUGGCGUGUUUUGGAGCUCAAGGGACAAGGUGUUAGUGAAGAGGAAGCCAUGGCUGUAGCUGAUAUGGAAUAUCGAGCUGAGAAGAAGGCAAAGAAGAAGGCGUACUCUAAGCUGAAGCAAGUUGCACGGUUGCAAGGGAAGAAGCCACCUCCAAAUCCCUACCCGAGUGCCAUUAAAGAAAUACAAGCAGAGGAGAAGAAAUUUGUCCGAGACCGUUUCUUUAAUCCCAAAAUACUUGAGAUUGUGCAGAAGAUGAAAGCAGAAAAAGUUGCAGAGAUGCAAGGACAAAGAGAGUUUGGCAAUGGCAGGGGUGGUGGUGGUCAGCGUGGUGGAUGGAAAGGUGGCCAGCAUCAGUAAUUUAGAUCCGUCGGUACAUAGAUUGAAUUGUUACUUGCUUUUUGCAUCUUGUCAUUUUGGUUAGGAGACUGUCUUUUCCAUGUGAGCAAUCUGAAGUGCAAUAAAGGAUUAUUAUGGAACAAUGAAAAA